AACGAACGCUGGCGGCAUGCCUAACACAUGCAAGUCGAACGGUGUCUUCGGACAUAGUGGCGCACGGGUGCGUAACACGUAUGCAACCUACCUUACAUUGGGGGAUAGCCUUUCGAAAGGGAGAAUAAUACCGCAUAAGACAGUAGCUGGGCAUCCAGCAGCUGUUAAAGAUUUAUCGAUGUAAGCUGGGCAUGCGUCCAAUUAGCUAGUUGGUGAGGUAACGGCUCACCAAGGCAAUGAUUGGUAGGGGAACUGAGAGGUCAAUCCCCCACACUGGCACUGAGAUACGGGCCAGACUCCUACGGGAGGCAGCAGUAGGGAAUAUUGGGCAAUGGACGCAAGUCUGACCCAGCCAUGCCGCGUGCAGGAUGAAGGCGUUAUGCGUUGUAAACUGCUUUUAUACAGGAAGAAACGACUCUUGCGAGAGGCAUUGACGGUACUGUAUGAAUAAGCACCGGCUAACUCCGUGCCAGCAGCCGCAGUAAUAC
rnacentral:rRNA from 1 species